UCAAAUCUACAGAGACAUUGCGGGAUCUUCAACGGUCGAGAUUCGGGAGCGGCAAGAGGAGUGAUUCACAACUGUGCAUAUUACACCAGGAGGAGACCACCGGAACUCUGGACUUCAUUCAAAGGCACUCUGUAGGUAUUAAUCCGGAGAGAGGAACAAUGAAGUUGAAAGGAAAAGUGGCAUCUAAAACAACAGGACAAAUGGUACAGAAGAAACAGCUUGAAGUGAACCCACAUGUUGUCACUCUUCUUUGCAAAGUGAAGGAUUUUCAGUGGAAUUUCUGAAAUCCACUCUUUGCAUCCUGGGAUGGAACCGCAUCUGGAGCUAAACUGCUCUCCCUUUUUUAAUCAGAAGUUUUGUUGGA